rnacentral:rRNA from 1 species
CCCUUAGAUGUUCGGGGCCGCACGCGCGCUACACUGAAGGACUCAGCGUGUCUCUCCCCCUAUCCCGAAAGGGAUGGGCAACCCGUUGAACCUCCUUCGUGCUAGGGAUUGGGGUUUGCAAUUAUCCCCCAUGAACGAGGAAUUCCCAGUAAGCGCGAGUCAUCAGCUCGCGUUGAUUACGUCCCUGCCCUUUGUACACACCGCCCGUCGCUACUACCGAUUGGAUGGUUUAGUGAGACCCUCGGAUCGGUCCCGACUCGGGGUGGGCUUCUGCCCCGGUCGUGGUUUCGCCGAGAAGACGGUCAAACUUGACUAUCUAGAGGAAGGAGAAGUCGUAACA